CCUACGGGAGGCAGCAGUGAGGAAUAUUGGUCAAUGGACGCAAGUCUGAACCAGCCAUGCCGCGUGCAGGAAGACGGCUCUAUGAGUUGUAAACUGCUUUUGUACGAGGGUAAACGCAGAUACGCGUAUCUGUCUGACAGUAUCGUACUAAUAAGGAUCGGCUAACUCCGUGCCAGCAGCCGCGGUAAUACGGAGGAUUCAAGCGUUAUCCGGAUUUAUUGGGUUUAAAGGGUGCGUAGGCGGUCGGAUAAGUUAGAGGUGAAAUCCCGAGGCUCAACUGCGGAAUUGCCUCUGAUACUGUUCGGCGAGAGAGUAGUUGCGGUAGGCGGAAUGUAUGGUGUAGCGGUGAAAUGCUUAGAGAUCAUACAGAACACCGAUUGCGAAGGCAGCUUACCAAGCUACUUCUGACGUUGAGGCACGAAAGCGUGGGGAGCAAACAGGAUUAGAUACCCGUGUAGUC
rnacentral:rRNA from 1 species